GAUUUAAUUGGUUUUAAUUAUAAUUCCAAUUAUUAAAAAUAGAUGAGUAAGAAUAUUGUUGGUGUUCUCAACUCAAGAGAAAUGUUUUCAAUUAUUUAUUCAUUAAAUUUUGAAAACCCGGCUAAGUGAAUCAUAGAAUAAUAAGCACUACACCAUGACUUAAGAUUAGCUUCACGAGACCUAUUAAGAAUAGAAUUUCUUGUAGGCUUUGUGACCAGGGGGAUUAGCGCUGCUUUCCCAAGACAGGUUUUUAUGUGUAUGAUCUUCAGGCUUUGCCUAUCCAGGUUGGCUGGCCGGUGCUGACGGGACGGAGCUGAGGCUAGCGAUAAAUUCCUAUGUUAGACUUCCGCUGUAGCAAUUACUCAUAUCAGUCUUUUGUUUUCCCAACUUAAGAUCUUCAUGUUAAAUUUCAAAUGAUAUAUCUGACCGAGCUUAGACUCUUCACUA